rnacentral:lncRNA from 12 species
GCAGCUUGUCAGAAAUGAGGGGUGAUGUCUUUUUCCUGAGCUGAUGUGCUCAGGUGGGAGUGGCUCAUAGCACUAUUUGAUGCGUAUUCCAGCCUUUGCAGGAGUAUUUUCUGAAUCCUCCUCUGCUGUCAUGAGUGUUGUAGAAACCAAGGGCCGUGUUCAUAUCAGUGCCACAGAAAAUGCUGAGGCUUUGUUCUCUCCCAGGGUCAGCGAAAGCGCCCUGGAGGAGCAGCUGAUUCCGGACCAGCUCGGAAACGGAGCAGGCUGCAGCCCUCCAGCGCAGCUGGAACUUCCCGGACUGAACCAGCAGAGCUCGUGGAAAGUGGAACACCUGCUUUGGAGCCUGCUGCUGGACCAGUCAUAGGUCUCACAACUGAAUCUUCUGUGCCCGAAGUCAUUGUUAUUCUUAGUGAUGAUGAGUCUGCGGUGGUAAGUAUUGAAUGACACACUCCUCUCCAUCUUGCAUUCAAAUUAGUGUUCCUGCCUUUCUUCUGGA